rnacentral:rRNA from 1 species
ACCUGUGAAGAUGCAGGUUACCCGCGACAGGACGGAAAGACCCCAUGGAGCUUUACUGCAGUUUGAUAUUGAGUAUCUGUACCACAUGUACAGGAUAGGUAGGAGCCUAUGACCUCGGGACGCCAGUUUCGAGUGAGGCGUUGUUGGGAUACUACCCUUGUGUUAUGGCUACUCUAACCCAGAUAGGUUAUCCCUAUCGGAGACAGUGUCUGACGGGCAGUUUGACUGGGGCGGUCGCCUCCUAAAAGGUAACG